UGGAUUGCCACUACAUACUGCUAAACAUCACUGAUGGAUUGUGAUCUGUGAGAAUUAAUUGAUGAUCAAUAAUUCUUAUUGGGUAAGCUAAAAUUAUUUUAAUUUAUUGAAAAAAGUUUCAAUGAUAUCAAUGAUGGAGAUCAUGAUAUAUCUUACUAUCAGAUAGAAUAGAAUCUAUGGAGUCACACACAAAAAAAUUUUUGACUUGAUC
rnacentral:lncRNA from 1 species